UGUAUUUAAAAAAUAAUACCUUAAACGUUAUUCUUUUAUAAUGUAUUAUCGAACAUAUUAUGGUACCGUAGCGUUAGCACAGACACAUUACUAGUAUCAGCUGGUGGGAUUAGUAGUUAGGAGUAAGGUAAAGAGAAAUUUGAAUAAGAGGGAAUGGAUGACAUAUGUUUUGUUAUAAGAUCAUACUUAUUUUAAGACAAAUUUAAAUAUAAAAUUACACUUGCAUAAAUAGUUUGAUCCGAGUAGAAUCAUUACGAUUCUACCUACUCAGCCGUUUUGCCUAAGUACUUUAAAAAACUUCACAGUUUCUACCAAGAUUGGUCGUAUAGUAUCUAUAUUUAUUUCACUGGUUAUACUUCAUAAUAAAAGGUUAACGUGGGUUAUCAAUACAAGACCCAUAGAAGCGGAACAUGCCAAAAGGCUUGAAGAAGUCAACAUACCCAACAAGUUUUUAGAGACCCAUAAGCCUUGAGUGGUGAUCAGAAGGAGCCCAAAAUUAUAUAAAAAUUAUUUUGUUUACUUUUUGUUGCAACUAUUACCUUGGCACCGACCAAACCAUGGAGCCGAAUCUCCAUUUGAUUGUAGAAGUAAAACUAAAAGAAAAGGUAAGUUCUUUUAAUAAUAUAACCUCAUCUGAAAAAUAGAACUCAUGUUUUUUGAGGGAUCAUGAUUAAAAUAAGAACUAAUUAUAACUGGUUUUGUUAAGAAAAGAGAUAAAUCAAUUGAAUAAUUAUGAUAGGUUAAGAUAAAACUAGGGCGAAUUAAUUCUACUACUAUUAGUACAGAGUAGCUUAAAAUGGAUGGAUGGAGCGGGGGAAGAGAGGAAAAUGGCGAUGUUGCCCUCCGAGAGACCGAGACCCGCAUAGUGUGGAGGUGGAGCUCUUGCAAGAAGAGUCAGCAAGCCUCCUCUUCGCGACACCCAAAGCUGUCCAAUACCGCAGGCCCGACGGCCAUGGAGACCGCCCUCUUCUCCGCCGCCUCUCUCUUCCACGACCCCGAUGACCCAGACGAGAUGCAGGUGGGCGCCGAAGCGGGGGCGCAGGCUAUGGAUUACGUGGAGAGAGUCCACGAGUUCCCUGGCAUGGAACUGAGCAUAAGGGAAUUCUCAUGUCAUCAGCUCAAUGCUAACCUGCUAUGGCCUGGGACCUUUUCAUUUGCUGAUUGGCUGGUGAAGAAUAAAUCAAUUCUGCAUGGGCGAAGGAUCCUUGAAUUAGGAAGUGGGACGGGAGCUUUGGCUAUUUUCCUGCGAAAGGCGUUUCAAGUGGACAUCACAACCUCUGAUUAUGAUGAUGAAGAGAUUGAAGAGAAUAUAGCAUACAACUGCAAAGCUAACAGUUUGGAUGUACUUCCUCAUAUCCGACAUACAUGGGGAGACCAGUUUCCAGUUCUCAUACCAGAUUGGGACAUUGUUAUCGCUAGUGACAUUUUGUUGUAUGUUAAACAAUAUCCAAACCUAGUCAGAACAUUAUCCUUUAUCCUGAAAGAACACAAGGGCAGCAGUCAGAAUACUGGCAAUACAGCCAUCACAAACAAAUCAGGAACUCAAGUACCUGUUAAGUUUCCCAUGUUUUUGAUGAGCUGGCGUAGAAGAAUUGGCAAGGAUUGGUGCCUCUUCUUCGAAGAAUGCAAAAAGGCAGGCCUGGAAGUACAGCAUCUGGGCGAUCUUGUGUACCUCAUCUACACCAAAUAGUAUCGAAAAUCCAGUGUAUCAUCGUUAGUGUUAGAUUGCUCAAAGGGUAACAGAGAAAGGUCUAAAUUCAGUCACGACAGUAAAAUGGAAAGGAAACAUGGAUUUUUCCCAAAUGGCAACAGAGAAAGGCCUAAAUUCAACUACACACAAGUAAAAUGAUUCGGGUGAGUUUAUACUGUUCUUCCGUACACAUUCCUGAAUGGUGAAACACUGAAAAUGCUAGGAUGAGAAACUGGGCAAGUGUAUCUGAUGUAUUUGGGCCAUGUAUUGUUUGCAGUAAAAUGGUGACAUUUACAGACUCUUGUAUUUGGUCCAUGUAUUGUUUGCAGUAAAAUGGUGACAUUUACGGACUCUUGUAA